GAUCAUGGCUCAGGAUGAACGCUAGCGGCAGGCCUAACACAUGCAAGUCGAGGGGCGAUCGGGAUUGAAGCCUGCUUCAAUUGCCGGCGACCGGCGCACGGGUGCGUAACGCGUAUGUAACCUACCUAUAACAGGGGCAUAACACUGAGAAAUUGGUACUAAUUCCCCAUAAUAUUCGGAGAGGCAUCUCUCCGGGUUGAAAACUCCGGUGGUUAUAGAUGGACAUGCGUUGUAUUAGCUAGUUGG
rnacentral:rRNA from 1 species